rnacentral:misc_RNA from 1 species
AAGACAAAUUACGGAAUUACAUCUGCAUUUAGACUCUGCAGUACGUCAGAAAUUGCCGUUCGGGGGAAAAAUACUUCAAUAAGUUGCGUAUGAUUACAUGAAGGGUAAUGGUCAACCCAGCAUAAUGGACAGUAAUGUUGUAAUGGACAGUCUACUGGCCACGGGAGAAGAUCUCUCUCUUGACCGGCCAAAUAUUGACCAACUGAGGCAGGACAGGAUGGACAGAAAUAGGGCUGUCAUGGAGGCACUUGAUCCACAGGCUGCAAAAACUACCAUACCACAGGUGGACAAACUAAGUGCAGCCGAGCAUGCCGCGGUCUGUAUUCAGUCCCACUACAGAGGACAUCUGGGCAGGAAGAAAUACACAGAACUACUGUAUCAGCAGUUUGAAAAGGAAGAAGCACUGAGGUAUGAAAAGAUGCAGAAGCAGUUAGAAGAAGGGGAGUUGUUGGUUGCAAAUCACAAGUUAGAGGUUGAACUGGAUGAUGAUAACACCAAGAGAAGGAACAAGUCAAGACACUUUGAGGCCAGUGCAAUUACGAUACAGCGAGCUUGGCGCCACCAUCACCAGGGUCACCUUGCAGAUACCGCCUCCUCCGAGCCAGAUGAAGCCAGUGAGACAGAGAGCGCAGGUGACCAACACCCCAUCACAUCAAGCACAGAGGACUCUCUGCUAGAACCAGAAGGUCAUCAAGGUCAAAUCUUAGGUCAAGGUCAAAUGUCAGGUCAAGGUCACAUGAAAGGUCAUAGGCCAAGUGAUCAUGUUUCCAAAAUCAAGAACUCUGCAGUGAGUAAGUUGGUCGGUGGAUCAGAGUGUGACUCUGUCGUGUCAGACUACUCAGAAAUGGCCGACCCUGUGCGUGAUCUCUUUGUGGAGAAUGAGGUGAAGAUUGUGAAAAGGGAAGAGCUCGCGGGAGGAAAGAAUUUGUGCACUGGCAGCUCUCUUGAGGAGAAGCCAGAGCGCAGUCCCGAGGAAACGCAGGAAGAGUUCGAGAAGCGUGUGCGUAAAGAGAAUUAUCUCAGUUUGGCCCAGGAAUUUGCUGCCCUGAAGAAGAUCAAUUCAGACGCAUUACCAUUUGACCUUCAUAAGGAGGUCAACAAAAGGGAGUAUAGUCCUAUGAGUGAGGGCAGCUCAGUAGCCUCUGCACCUGUCACUCCUAGUGACCCAGAUAUUGAGUUGCUGGGGGCAACCACCAAUCUGAAUAAACUAGAACAAAAUAUAGCCAAUCAGAACAAAGCUAACAACAACUCAUCAUAUCAGACCAAUGCUAAUGACAAAACAGCCAAUCAGAACACUAAAGAUAAAAUGUCAGCCAAUCAGGAUGUCGCUUCCUUUGUGAUGAUGCCAGAUGUCAUCCCUCAGCCAAAAGUAGCCUGGGGUGAAGGUCCUGCCAAUCAGGAAACCUCAGCACACUCUGGACUGUCACAACCGUCUCACCUAACACAAUCAAAUGUUAGCGCAGACACCUCCCAUGAGAGAUCUCACAAAUUAAUGGAGAAUGGACAUUCUGUGUCUAAGGACAAAGGUGCCAUGGUGAGCAGUGCCAGUGAGGAGUUGGGCGACUUUGACGUGAUUGAGAGCACGCUGCCAGAGUUGGAUUGGAACACCAUAGAGCAGAAGCUGCAGAGAGCAGCAGAGGAGGAGAAACAGAGACUGAAGGCGCGGCGUAAUGACCGCGAGGAGAUACGUCGCAAGCUGGCCAUGGGGACGGAUGAGGAGUAUUAUGGAGGAGAACGCACGUUCAGGAAACCUAAUCUUCAAACACGACUUCAAAGUGGGAUGAACUUACAGAUUUGUUUUGUGAAUAACUCUCUGCCAGAGUCGGGUAAUGUCCCUCCCGUCACAGCUGAGGGAAACCCCCAAGGAGAGGAGAAAAAUCAGGAGGCAGAAGCAGACACUGGAUUCUCCGAGUCCUCAGCGAUUGCCGAGACUACAGCCGAGACCCCUCUCCUGCAAGACAAGCCAGAACCAGAGCUCAAUAAAAAUAACGUCAGCAAGGCGGUAGAUGAUGAGGAUUUUUUUGCUAAACAGGUGCAGUUACAGGCUGAGGCCAGGCUGGCGCUAGCACAGGCCAAGCCAAUGGCGCAGAUGCAGCUAGAGAUUGAAAAACAACAAAAGAAAAAACAGUCUGUUGCAGAAAAAGUAAUUGGUCUGCCAGAUGGAAGGAAAAAACUGACUCUUCCAGUGCUGCAAGAAAUGAAUGUGGCCCAGUUACAGGUGCUGGUGAAUGAUAUGCACUCCCAGAUUGAAAGUUUAAAUGAAGAUCUGGUGAAGGCUUUAAUGAACAGGGAUGACUUUCAUAUGGAACAGGACUCUAUGUUGGUGGACAUUGAAGAUCUGACACGUUAACAGUUCACAAGAUUCCAUCAAGCUGUUUUCGACACUCCACAACUUUUCAGAGAGGCAAAUCCAUUUUGUCUUGAGACUUAAUUGCUGAGAAUGCAAUUUAUUAAUAGAUAUUAACUGAUGUAGUUCCCAUGAUUUAGGUGUUUAUAGCUCAGUUAACCUGAAGAUUAAUGUUUACUUUUCCAUUUGCAUAAAUGUAUUUCAGCUUAAUUUUGAUUACUGGAAUUGGAAUUCUACAGCAUUUCCAUGUUAAUUUUGUCAGCAUUUCCUUUGAUAUUUCUUAUUUUGGUGUCAAUUUUCAGUGGGAGGAUAUGGCCGCAAGCCAUGAGUGAAAAUGUCAUACGUGCUCAAGAAUGCGCCCAGCGCGUGAGCUCACGAAAUCAGCGUCGAAAAGAAAAGGGC